rnacentral:lncRNA from 1 species
GGUAGCAAUUCCCCUCAAGAGGACUCUAGCUUCAUGACCUUUUUAACUCCCAAGAGCCUAUCUCCAGAAAGCAUCACGCUGGGGAUUAGUAUGUGAACACUGCAUGCCUCCACUCCAUGUACACGUGAUGGACCUGUACUGGGCAGUGCUAGAGAUGUUCAUCAUCAACUUUAAGGAAUUGAAGACAUCCCUAAAUAUCUCUGAAGGGAUCAAAAAUUACCAAAACACCUCAAAAGGAAAGAUACUUCAGUGAGGAGUCAGUGUUGAGAAUGGAGUUUUGGAUUCACUUUAGUUUACACCAACCAGGGUACCAAAAACCCACUGCUUUUGCUCAGGAGAUUAACUUCCAUCCAGGCUACUUCAGACAAGUGGUGCGGGCUUGGUCUAUCAACUUGACAUGAGCUAAAGUAAUCUGAGAAGAAUGGGUCUCACUUGAGAAUAUGCCAUCAUAAUUAGGCUGUGGUCAAGCCUGUGGAGCAUUCUCUUGAUGAGUGAUUGAUAUAAAAAGAUCCAGCCCCUUGUAGGUGGGGAACUCCUGUGCUGGUGGUCCUGGGUUCUAUAAGAAAAGAGGAUGAGGGAGCCAUGAGGAG